CCUACCAGUCCAUGGUUUUACGUUUGGGAAAAAAAGGCCAGCCGGUUCCAGGUUGUAAAAUUGCAACGGGAUGCAAGUAAUUUUACGUUUAUGCAUUGACUCGAAUAUACCCCCUUGCCCAUCCUUUUUCUGAAAAAAAGAGAGCCGCGCCUCCGAACGGUUUGUGAGUAUCGGCGGUGACCAGCACGCAAGAGACGGCAGCGUGGUGCUCGGCGAUUUGGAUCUGAGUGAAGCCAUCGGUUGGCUGGCUGCCGGGGCGGCGCGCUACUCGGCGGCGUGGUCUCGAUGUUGUGGUGGUCGCUGGGCAGUUGGCGCGGCGUGGUGUGCGGCGUCUGCCUAGGUCUUGGGCGGCGUCAUGCGUGGUCGUCGCGGCGGAGCUAUGGCGAGUGAUUGUAGCGGCGCUCAAGUGCGUGCCCGUGCUUGUGCUGCUACGUGAAGGCGUUGCUUGCCAUUUGGAUUGAAUUUUGGUUGGGUGUGAGUGCACGGGUUGAGGAACACAAUGUCGGUGCGAUGCUUCCAAAUGCACCAGCAAAAGAGAAGGAAGAACAUCGACCGCUAGUGAGCGACAUCUCGCAGAUUGUGGACAGAGGCUACUGAAGGUGGUUGGAACCACAGCGUGGCCCGGAAAUCAACAAAUAAUGGGUAGACAAAGAAGAGGUGACUCGCCAAUAACAGUGUGGCGGACUGGGCAGGCAACUAGAGGUUUAGAGCAAUGAAAAAGGUGAUUUUGUUCUUGAAUCGUGCUUAACAUUUAUUUAGCAAUCAAGCACUUGCAGCCCGGUUUGAGAUGUGCUUCUUGUUGGUUCAUGUAGACAUGCCAACAAAGGCCUCAUAAAGAAAAAUAGAAAAAAAUACAGUAGAUUGGUUUUGAUUGUUCUCUUGUGUAGACCAAAAUUAGCGAGCAAAAGAAAUUGGAUUUUGGUUCCAAAUUCUUUCCGUGAGUUUAUCCCAGGAAUAAUGUAUUGUUCCUAUUUGAUUUGCUACAUGUAACUUCCGUAGGCAAAUCUUCCACCCGAUGUUUCUGUUCAACAGCUCUCAAAGGCAUAGAGUCAACCAGUCAGACUUUGACCAGAUGUCGAACAUCUUCAGAACCUUGAUUGCUGAUCCUAGAUACCUAAACUCUAUUCUGGCAAGUUGUACAUGUAAUAAUUAGUUCUAGGAGGGUAUGCAGAUUGAAUUUGCUAUAUUGCAGUCUGGACUACAAGCUGCAAUGUUUUGAUAACCAUGGUCUGGAUGUAGAUAAUUUUGAGAAAGCAUACUUCUUUCCAUGUGCAUUUAGGCCUUAUGGGAUUAAUCUCUCUAUCAUCAGUUCUUCUAGUAUUUGAUUGAACCCUCUAAGAUAAUUCCAGUUUCAGUAAUUUAUCAAAUCAAUCUCAUGGGAGAAGAUUUGUCCUUGGUUCAGUCAAAUCUCUUAUAUUUUCUUUAAAUCUACGUGCCUUGUAGUUGUAAGUACUCUACUAUCUUUUCAGUAACAUUCUGACCUAUAUAUGAGAAUUAUGUAGCACCUUUAUUACGACAGUAAUGAUUCACUAAGCUUCUAUCUUACCACAUGGUCCAAUUUAUUUCCAGUUGUUGCCACCUUCCCUGGAUACAUCACACCCUAUAUAGUGUGCUCCUAGCAUGCUUUGUGUUUUUAGAUCAAAACUGUUCGUCUGCAACAAAUUGAAGUGUUGGUCUGGAAAUAAAAUUAUUUAGAAAGAGGCGAACUAUCUGCUCAUUUUCUACCAUCUAAACUAGUAUAGAUAGUGGUACAUGCUAGCGAACAAAUAGUUUAUACCCUAUUUCAGUGUGGGGCACUAUUCUGCUAUUCUGUGGAAGCACCUGCUAUUAUUUUCGUUCAAAGCAUUCAUAAUUUGGGUUUCUGCAAGGGCUCUGAAAAGAAACAUAUUUUUGAUAAAUGUUGCGUGAUGCAUCGUUCUGCGCACCUAAUCGCCUACUUAGAAAAAGAAAUAAAAGUAGCUACAUUCGCGUGUACUUUGGAGUGUGUAUAGAUGGCAGAAUAGUUGUACCCUUGCUUUGUACUAAUAGUUUUAUUUACACUGUAGGUAGUUCACUAUAUAAGUUUCCUGAUAACUGUAGGCUGAUGUUAAUAAUUUUUUUGGAAAGAAUGAAAUAUUAGGAUCUUUGACAUUGCAGAAUUAUGCUAACACGGUGUUUGAGGGUAUCAUUGAUGAGUUUCAAUCUUGGAGAGGUGCAGGCUGCUUGUCUUCUUUCUGAAUCAUGUUCCUCCUAUUUUCUCCCUGUUGGGAGUGUAUAGAGUUCUCCCUGGUGGGCUGUGUAAUCAGCGGGUUAUCUUAGUCCAUGUAUAGAUUCCAGUUUUGUUUCCUUGAGAGUUGACCCUGUAAAUUCUAGCUCUGUUUUCCAAGAGCUGAUACCUAGAGUUUUCCUUGUUUAAAUAAAGUUCA